rnacentral:sRNA from 1 species
UUUUCAUGAAUUAAGUAAUUGCCACCUAAAAAAUAACAGAAGAGAGUAUGAAAACAAAAAAAAUCCAUGUCUUUUAAAAUGUCUUUUACCAUGUUGCUUCUUGGCAGGUAUCUUAUAAAUAUUCCAAGUCAGAUGUUAAAAUUUUUUAAAGCAGCUUUAUAUUUCCAUAGUGUAAUAUUAGUUUGGGAUUUAUUUCAGGGCUUUAAUGUCUGUCUUUACUUGUCUAGAAGUAGCUUCACUGGCUCCUAACUACUGCCCUGGGGCAGAUUCAGAUGAAAUGUGGUAUGUAGCCACACCCAAUACUGUUGGCAUACUUUCAUUGAAUCUAUUCCCAUGGAAGAAACCCAGUUGCAAUUUCAGUAUUAUUUCAUCAAAGAGGCCAGGCCAGAGCUAUCAUAACUGCUUUCAUAUCGUGUUUCCUUUUUAUUAUGUCAUGUUUUAUAUCAUAUGUUUGCUUUCUACAUACUUGUUCCUCAAUUGCUUGUGCUUAUAUAAAUUUAUAAUGCUAUUGAAUAAACAAAACAAUAAAUAGUGAUGGGAUCAUUUUAUAUGGAUGUAAUAUUUUCUGAAGAGCCAAACAAAUUGAAUAAGUAACUUUACUCCAAAUUUUAAUGAGCUAUUAAAUUUUAUUUAAAUCGCUUUUCCUUUCUACCCAAAAGUAAUCAUCUUAAGUGUUUUUCCAGUGUCUGAGAACAUUAGUGGGACAUACAGGUGGAGUAUGGUCAUCACAAAUGAGAGACAACAUCAUCAUUAGUGGAUCUACAGAUCGGACUCUCAAAGUGUGGAAUGCAGAGACUGGAGAAUGUAUACACACCUUAUAUGGGCAUACUUCCACUGUGCGUUGUAUGCAUCUUCAUGAAAAAAGAGUUGUUAGCGGUUCUCGAGAUGCCACUCUUAGGGUUUGGGAUAUUGAGACAGGCCAGUGUUUACAUGUUUUGAUGGGUCAUGUUGCAGCAGUCCGCUGUGUUCAAUAUGAUGGCAGGAGGGUUGUUAGUGGAGCAUAUGAUUUUAUGGUAAAGGUGUGGGAUCCAGAGACUGAAACCUGUCUACACACGUUGCAGGGGCAUACUAAUAGAGUCUAUUCAUUACAGGUAAGAUCUCUUAUCUCUCCCUUAAAUGCUCUCCUGAUGAAUCAUAAGGUUGUUUUACUCAGAUAAUCACUGUCAAAUUGCUGAUCCAGUACAGUCCAAAAAAGAUUAAUCAGAUUAUUCUGUGCUGUUUUUAUAUACGUUAAAAUUGGCAUGAAGAAAGUGUAAAUUUCAAAAUUAUUUAAAUGCUUUCGAUUUUCUGUGAUCUAUUUUUCCUCUAAAUACAAAUAUUUGUUUUGCAACCUGACACUUUGGGGCUCUAAGUUUUGCUAUGUUAAUUAAUGGUUAAAUAGUCUCAUAGGAGAGUAACCUGGAUUUUAAGAAACUCCUUUGCAGAAGAUUAAUAUGGCCAAAAGCUGCCCCUUUGCUUUGAUAGCUGAAAGUUGAUGGACCAUGUAAUUGUGAUUCCAUCCCCAUUCAAAGUGGAAAUAGAUCCUUUUUGCAUAAAGCACUCUACUGUCCCAGGCCCACUGAUUUGUAGUCAUAAAGAAGUAAAGUUGACUAAACUGAUUUCUUUUUUUUGGUUUAUAUUUCAAGCCCAUAUCCUUGAAAACAUUGCCAUAUUUUGACAUCAUUAACUAGAUGAACAGGAAGUUUAGAAUAUGAAUCUUGUUUUAUUUCCAGAAAGGCAACAUUUUCAGUGUAAAAAUAUUUCCUAUAGCUUAUAUAGUUUAUUUACCAGUUAUUGCCCAUUAAUGUUCAGCAAAUUAAUACAUAAUCUUAGUACUGUCAAUUCUGUUCUUAGGAUAUUUGUUUCUUUAUCGAAGGGAUAUUGUCCAUGUCAUGAAAUAUUGACAGUAUGAUAAAAAUGUUUGCUAAAUUAGAAAAGGUGAUGAAUUUGGAGGAAGGGGAAUUGGCUGCACCUGUUUGUGAUAUGUUCAGAAGCUUAAUGAAUAUAAUAUUCUAAUUUAAAUAAACCAUUUGAUUGAGAAAAGAGGUAGCCACAUUAUUAUAUAGAAAUGAUAGACUGUUAUUGACUUUUGGUGUAGCUGGGAAGCUGGAGAAGAGGUAGUAUGUAGUUUGCUUUUGAUAUCAAAAUGCCACCUCUUCUGAUUCCAGAUACAAUUAUCUUUUGGCACAUUUCCUAAUUAGCAUUAGGUUCUUAUAAAUGAAAUUUUAUUUUACACACAGUUUUUAAUGGAACUUACUUUUGAACAUUACGAAAGUUAUCUCUAGCCCUUUUGAUGCCUUAGGUGUUGAUAAGCAUUCCAUUAAUCAUAAGCUAUGUCAGUCUCAGCUUCCUAGUGGGAAGUAAAACUCAAAUAGCAGUUCUUUCAGUCAUCCAUGAUAUAUAGCUAGGUGGGGCCAGAUUAUUUGAAAAUUAACAUAUUGUUCAUUUUAGGUGCUUUGUUUUCAUUUUAAGUUGUUUCUGCAUCUACUUUGAAGCUGCUUGACAUAAAGAUGAGCCUUUCUGAUAGAAGUGUGUGAGAAGAUAACAUUGUAGAGUUGCUUGAUAGCAUGCACUUUAUCCUCAUUGCCACUUUAUCUUAGUACCUCAUUUUGUUCCUGGCAUUACCUGUUUCCCAUCCUCUUCCCCUUUCCUACUAGGAUUAAGGUCAGUAAUUGAUAGGGAGAGUAUCCAUACUUCUAUUCUAAUAAACUGUGUCUUUUGUAGUUUGAUGGUAUCCAUGUGGUGAGUGGAUCUCUUGAUACAUCAAUCCGUGUUUGGGAUGUGGAGACAGGGAAUUGCAUUCACACGUUAACAGGGCACCAGUCGUUAACAAGUGGAAUGGAACUCAAAGACAAUAUUCUUGUCUCUGGGAAUGCAGAUUCUACAGUUAAAAUCUGGGAUAUCAAAACAGGACAGUGUUUACAAACAUUGCAAGGUAAGUAUUAGUUACCUUUCAUUUUGUUCAUUAAAAAUGAGUUCAUUAUUCAAGAGAAAUAUGGAGCUUUAGCAUCACAAAAAGAGUCAACCUCAUACAGAAUGGUUACUUCAGAAAAGUUUAUGAAUAUUUUCACCCUGACUUACAGAACUAGUCUACUCUUGAGGAAAUGUUUUAAACUGUGUUUUUAAUAUGUAAUAUAAAAUUGUUUAAUCACUUCCUGCAUGUUCAAUUGACUGUACUUAACCUUUAAGAACAGUGAGAAGAAAGAUCUUGGCUAUAUCAUAGAAGCAACAUACUCAUUAUAUUUUUUGAUUGACCAUUGCAUUUUGAAUUUGUAGUCCAAUUUUAAAGGGCUGCCUUAUUGAAAAAAACAAAAGCAUCCUUGAUAGAAAAUUUCUUUGGCCUCUGCUUAGUCACGUGCUUAACUGGAAUGGAGAGGAAUAAUAGUGCCUACUAAAAUAGAGAAAGAAACAAGUGAAAAUCACUAAUAUUAGAUGAGGUACAGCAGUGCCUCAUGAUUAACUUUUUCUAUUUGUUAUAGCCCUUAGAAAGUGUUUUUUUCGGUGCGGCCAUCUGAUAUGCAACAUUGUAGCUUUUUACUCAUUGGUUUUGUCUCUCCUCAGAGUUUUGGAAUAGUGACCAUUCAGCUUUGAGUGGUUCAUAGUGGUGGGGUAAUAGAUCUCUUAGUGCUCAUUUGUCCAUCAGCAGAAGGUACGAAGUUGCACUAUCUGCAUCCUCACCAAGGAAUGCUGUCGUUCACACAGCCAGAAAAUAAGAUAUUUGUCUGGUAGCUAACCAAGCUUCUUGGAAGACAGACCUCUUGAAAGUUAAUGUUUCAGUUACAAAUCACUACCAGAUUUUCUUACAUCCAUGCUGAUCCUAAAAUACUGAGGACAUGGGUUUCUAAAUAUGUAUCAUUUCAAAUGUUGCAUUUAUUGUAUGUUCUAAAGUAGAAGUCUACAAAUUAUAAUGUAACUAACCCGUAGCCAUUAUUUCUAACCAGUAAUUAAAUUCUUUUGGUUUUUGUCUAGGUCCCAACAAGCAUCAGAGUGCUGUGACCUGUUUACAGUUCAACAAGAACUUUGUAAUUACCAGCUCAGAUGAUGGAACUGUAAAACUAUGGGACUUGAAAACGGGUGAAUUUAUUCGAAACCUAGUCACAUUGGAGAGUGGGGGGAGUGGGGGAGUUGUGUGGCGGAUCAGAGCCUCAAACACAAAGCUGGUGUGUGCAGUUGGGAGUCGGAAUGGGACUGAAGAAACCAAGCUGCUGGUGCUGGACUUUGAUGUGGACAUGAAGUGAAGAGCAGAAAAGAUGAAUUUGUCCAAUUGUGUAGACGAUAUACUCCCUGCCCUUCCCCCUGC